rnacentral:rRNA from 1 species
AGCUCCAAUAGCGUAUAUUAAAGUUGCUGCAGUUAAAAAGCUCGUAGUUGCAUUUCCGAGGCAAGGGAUUAGUCCGACCUUUGGUGGGUAUUUAAUCCUCUUGCCUCGUCCUUGAGUGGUGCUUCUUGGUAUUAAGUUAUCGAGGAGAUAGCCGCUCAUCGUUUACUGUGAGAAAAUUAGAGUGUUCAAAGCAGGCUUAUGCCGUUGAAUAUAUUAGCAUGGAAUAAUAAGAGAGGACCUCGGUACUAUUUUGUGGGUUUGAGAACCAAGGUAAUGAUGAAUAGGGACAGUUGGGGGUAUUCGUAUUCAGUUGUCAGAGGUGAAAUUCUUAGAUUUACGGAAGACGAACUACUGCGAAAGCAUUUACCAAGGAUGUUUUCA